AAGUCAUCACAGAACUACACUG
rnacentral:miRNA from 1 species